CACAUGACAACAUGGACAAGUAGCGUCCCCUCAUCCUUGAAAACUGUGAACAAAACUAUGGAAGGUCCUCUGUUGCUUUGACGGAUUGGCGAGGGUGAAGCCAUCAUGUCUCUGGACACAAAUGGAGGUUUUGCAAGCAGGACAAUGCUCCAUGCCACACAGCCAGGUCAAUCAAGGUGUGGAUGGAGGACCACCAGAUCAAGACCCUGUCGUGGCCAGCCCAAUCUCCAGACCUGAACCUUAUUGAAAACCUCUGGAAUGUGAUCAAGAGGAAAAUGUAUGACCACAAGCCAUCAAUCAAAGCUGUUUGAUUUUUUACACCAGGAGUGGCAUAAAUUCACCCAACAGCAAUGUGAGAGACUGGUAGAGAGCAUGCCAAGAUGCAUGAAAGCUGUGAUUGAAAAUCAGGGUUAUUCCAUCAAAUAUAUAUUUCUGAACUCUUCCUAAGUUAAAACAGUAGUAUUGUGUUGUUUAAAAAUGAAUAUGAACUUGUUUUCUUUGCAUUAUUCGAGGUCUGAAAACUCUACUCAUCUACACAUCUUUUUUGUUAUUUUGACCAGUUGUCAUUUUCUGCAAAUAAAUGCUCUAAAUGUCAAUAUUUUUAUUUGGAAUUUGGGAGAAAUGUUGUCAGUACUUUAUAGAAUAAAACAAAAAUGUUCAUUUUACUUAAUCACAUACCUAUAAAUAGUAAAUCCACAGAAACUGAUAAUUUUGCAGUGGUCUCAAAUUUUUUUAGAGCUAUAUAUAUAUAUAAUUAUUCUAAGGGGUUUCAAUGGAUUCUGAUUAAUUAAGAAAGACUCAAAAAGUGAUGGUCUAAGAAAAAUAGUAUAGCAUAGAAACAUUCUAGUUAAUGUUUCAGUUACGUUACAUUAAUCUGAGUGUCACAUGAACAUUCUAAUAAAAUUAUUGCCAGAGCUCAGAAGAAGAUAAUCAUUACUUGUCACCUCUCCUUUGUUAGCACCUGUCAUAAUAUAUUAAAUGGACCAGCAAAACUGUCAUCACAUUUGUUAGUAACAGGGGACUUGUGGCAAUCCCCUAUCAAGCCCAAACUGUCAUGUUGAAAGGAAACAGUGUGAGGUGUUGGGUGAAAAAAUAUAUAUGUGAAAUCGAAAGAGUGUGUCUAUGAGUGUGUUCGUAGUACAUAUAUGUGUGUGUGCAUGUGUUUGAAAACAUUCCCUUGACAUGAAGUCAUGCCGCAGGAGAGGUGAAUUUAGCUACCCAUAAAUAAUCUGAAGGGCAACAUUUUCCCCAUAAGUGCUAACACAAUGGGACAGACAGAAAAAAACAGAAAGGUUAGGUUGAUAUUUCCUCAUAGAAGAUGGAAGCCACUAGAGAUCUUUCAGUUUUAAGUAUUAACCUACCAACCUUUAGGUUAUUUUGACACUGUUUAUGUAAUGUGUUUAUGACUAAACCUUGUUCAAAGGCUUUUUUGUUAGACAUUUUUGUUUCCUUUAGAAAGACUCUCAAGGUUUUUGUUUUUAGUUUACCAGACUUUGAAAAAUGAUUUUGUGUGAGAAAUAUAUAAGUGUCACAAGCUGUGUGCAAUCUUCAUGCAUUAAUCAUAAUCAUCAUUUAUCAGCAACAAUUUUCAAGCAAUGACAUUGAACAAAAAAUUCAAAAUAACUCUCACCUGCACUUCUCUGAAAUGAAAUCUACAUCAUUUGCCACAUUGUUUGCUAAACAUAUAUGUUCACAUUAAUAACAAUUCACUGGUAUCAUUAUAGUGUGUCACAUAUUCUUAUUGUCCCAAUUUACAUAAGGCGAUUCUCAAACAAUAUUACUUCUCUUACUUAUUAUUCACACUUUUAUAUGAGACCUCUAUCAUCAGAACACAGGCUCUUUACCACCGAUGCCACACAUGUUGAUGUGUGGCAUCGGUGAUCAGACAAAACUGUUUUGCAGACUUUAAAGAAUCCAUAGUGACAUACUGUAUUUCCUUUGAAACAGUAAGUUUGAGCAGGGCAUAUUGAAAGUGUU